rnacentral:rRNA from 1 species
UACGGAGGAUCCGAGCGUUAUCCGGAUUUAUUGGGUUUAAAGGGCGCGUGGGCGGACUGGUAAGUCAGCUGUGAAAGUUUACGGCUCAACCGUGAAAUUGCAGUUGAUACUGUUGGUCUUGAGUAUUGAUGAGGUGGGCGGAAUUUGCGGUGUAGCGGUGAAAUGCUUAGAUAUCGCAAAGAACUCCAGUUGCGAAGGCAGCUCACUGGGGUAAAACUGACGCUGAGGCACGAAGGUGUGGGUAGCAAACAGG